GAAAUAUUUUUUUUUAAACUUCUAAUUUAAAUAUAUAGUGAACUUCUUUAUUCAUUAAUAUUUCU
rnacentral:tRNA from 1 species